GAUGAACGCUGGCGGCGUGCCUAAUACAUGCAAGUCGAGCGAACGGACGAGAAGCUUGCUUCUCUGAUGUUAGCGGCGGACGGGUGAGUAACACGUGGAUAACCUACCUAUAAGACUGGGAUAACUUCGGGAAACCGGAGCUAAUACCGGAUAAUAUUUUGAACCGCAUGGUUCAAAAGUGAAAGACGGUCUUGCUGUCACUUAUAGAUGGAUCCGCGCUGCAUUAGCUAGUUGGUAAGGUAACGGCUUACCAAGGCAACGAUGCAUAGCCGACCUGAGAGGGUGAUCGGCCACACUGGAACUGAGACACGGUCCCGACUCCUACGGGAGGCAGCAGUAGGGAAUCUUCCGCAAGGGGCGAAAGCCUGACGGAGCAACGCCGCGUGAGUGAUGAAGGUCUUCGGAUCGUAAAACUCUGUUAUUAGGGAAGAACAUAUGUGUAAGUAACUGUGCACAUCUUGACGGUACCUAAUCAGAAAGCCACGGCUAACUACGUG
rnacentral:rRNA from 1 species